UGUUCUGUGGCUUAGUUGGUUAAAGCGCCGCCGGUCUAGCGAAUAUGGAGUCGUGGGUUCGAAUCCCACCAGAACGC
rfam:Aedes albopictus isolate Foshan contig39112, whole genome shotgun sequence.